rnacentral:rRNA from 1 species
CUACGGGAGGCUGCAGUCAAGAAUCUUUUGCAAUGCUCGAAAGAGUGACAAAGCGAACCAGAGUGUUUCUCUAUUUGAGAAACUUUUGUUAGCUGUAAAAAAGCUGAUGAAUAAGGACCGGGCAAGACUGGUGCCAGCCGCCGCGGUAAUCCCAGCGGUCCAAGUCGCAGCCACAAUUAUUGGGUCUAAAACAUCCGUAGCUUGUUUUGUAAGUCUUUUGUGAAAUUUCACAUCUUAAGUGUGAAGCGUGCAAGAGAUACUGCAAAACUAGAGACCGGAAGACGCAAGAAGUACAAUCAAGGUAGUAGUAAAAUACGUUGAUCUUGAUUGGACUAACAAGAGCGAAGGCAUCUUGCGAGGACGGAUCUGACAGUGAGGGAUGAAGGCCAAGGUCGCAAAACGGAUUAGAUACCCCUGUAGUC